rnacentral:lncRNA from 1 species
UAAAUGAAAAAGGGGUUAAAUAAUAAAACUUGGAAUAGGCAAAGGGGUGUUACCCCUUCAUUUCACGAAGAACAGAGGGAAUAAAUCCCUAAAUCACCUUUCCUCCCUCUUUGUCUACUUCCACGGCGGCAGCAACAAUCAAAUUGGCGGAGGACGACGACACCGUACGCUAUCGAAGCAAGCUGAAGAACAAGGUAUGAACGUCUUCUUUAUCUCUUCUUCUUGUGAUGAAGGUUGCAUUCAUGGAGUAAAUCUGUAGCUUCCUAUUUCCGUUUACGAUUCCCUCUCAUCUCUUCUGUCUUCUCUCUCUCUUUCACGACAAUGGAGAUGCAUUCACGGUGGUGACUAGAUGGCGGUUCAUGAUGAUGAAGUUGGGGUCACGGUUAGGAACACAGAUUAUCACGAUGGAUUGAAGAAUUAGUGAUCAUCUUUCUCCGUUUUACUUCCCUUUAACUAUGAACCCGUGCUCUUUUCUCUAUCCUAUUUAUUUCUCACAGCUUUUCAUUCUCACAGAGACCCCUUAAAGCAUAGGGAGGACACCNN